GAAUGAUAAUGGCUUUCUCAUUAGCUUCAUACUGACUUUUAUCUGUGUCAAGAAGUUAGGAAAUUGCAUUCUUAAUCAGCACUUAGUCUCUAUUUGUGAGAUGAAACCACACCAAAUUUUAACAGAGAUAAUGUAAUAGUAUUGUUAACUAGGGAACAGGGAAGGUAGAUAGGAAUACUUAAGAUAUCAUGGAAGUAGCAAUUAGAGGAAACAUUUUUUUUU